GCCUUCUUGUUAAUUUUAAUUAGACUUACACAUGCAAGUUUCCGCUACCCUGUGAGAAUGCCCUCAAAACUAAAGAUGGAGGAGCUGGUAUCAGGCACACACACGUAGCCAACUACACCUUGCUCAACCACACCCCCACGGGAGACAGCAGUGAUUAAAAUUAAGCUAUAAACGAAAGUUUGACUAAAUCAUAAUUAAAGGGUUGGUAAAUUUCGUGCCAGCCGCCGCGGUCAUACGAUUAACCCAAAUUAACAAGUUUCGGCGUAAAGCGUGUUCAAUAAUAAAGUUAAUACUUAACUAAGUUGUAACACACUCCAGUUAAUACUAAGAUAAAUGAUUAAAAUAACUUUAAUAAAGCUGAUACACGAAAACUAAGGUACAAACUGGGAUUAGAUACCCCACUAUGCUUAGUCAUAAACCAAAGUAGUUAAAUAACAAAACCACUCGCCAGAGAACUACUAGCUACUGCUUAAAACUCAAAGGACUUGGCGGUGCCCUAAACCCACCUAGAGGAGCCUGUUCUAUAAUCGAUAAACCCCGAUAAACCCAACCCCAUCUUGCCAAUACAGCCUAUAUACCGCCAUCGUCAGCCCACCUUAAAAAAGGUCAAAGUAAGCAAAAUUAUUUUUCAUAAAAACGUUAGGUCAAGGUGUAGCAUAUGAUGGGGAAAGAAAUGGGCUACAUUAUCUAACCUAGAUUAAACGAAUCACAUUAUGAAAUCAGAGUGCCUGAAGGAGGAUUUAGUAGUAAAUUAAGAAUAGAGUGCUUAAUUGAAUUAGGCAAUAGGGCG
rnacentral:ncRNA from 1 species